UACGUAGGGACCGAGCGUUGUCCGGAAUCAUUGGGCGUAAAGAGCUCGUAGGCGGCUUGUCGCGUCGGAUGUGAAAGCCCGGGGCUUAACCCCGGGUCUGCAUUCGAUACGGGCAGGCUAGAGUUCGGUAGGGGAGAUCGGAAUUCCUGGUGUAGCGGUGAAAUGCGCAGAUAUCAGGAGGAACACCGGUGGCGAAGGCGGAUCUCUGGGCCGAUACUGACGCUGAGGAGCGAAAGCGUGGGGAGCGAACAGG
rnacentral:rRNA from 1 species